rnacentral:rRNA from 1 species
UACGUAGGGUGCAAGCGUUGUCCGGAAUUAUUGGGCGUAAGGAGCUCGUAGGCGGUUUGUCGCGUCUGCUGUGAAAACUCGGGGCUUAACCCCGGGCCUGCAGUGGGUACGGGCAGACUAGAGUGCGGUAGGGGAGACUGGAAUUCCUGGUGUAGCGGUGAAAUGCGCAGAUAUCAGGAGGAACACCGGUGGCGAAGGCGGGUCUCUGGGCCGUAACUGACGCUGAGGAGCGAAAGCAUGGGGAGCGAACAGG